GUAGGUGGCAAGCGUUGUCCGGAAUUAUUGGGCGUAAAGCGCGCGCAGGCGGUUCUUUAAGUCUGACGUGAAAGCCCACGGGCUCAACCGUGGAGGGUCAUUGGAAACUGGAGAACUUGAGUACAGAAGAGGAAAGCGGAAUUCCACGUGUAGCGGUGAAAUGCGUAGAGAUGUGGAGGAACACCAGUGGCGAAGGCGGCUUUCUGGUCUGUAACUGACGCUGAGGCGCGAAAGCGUGGGGAGCAAACAGGAUUAGAUACCCUGGUAGUCCACGCCGUAAACGAUGAGUGCUAAGUGUUAGGGGGUUUCCGCCCCUUAGUGCUGCAGCUAACGCAUUAAGCACUCCGCCUGGGGAGUACGGCCGCAAAGGCUG
rnacentral:rRNA from 1 species